GUGGGGGAUAUUGCACAAUGGGGGAAACCCUGAUGCAGCAACGCCGCGUGAGGGAUGAAGGUUUUCGGAUUGUAAACCUCUGUCCUUAGUGAAGAAUUUUUGACGGUAACUAAGGAGGAAGCUCCGGCUAACUACGUGCCAGCAGCCGCGGUAAUACGUAGGGAGCAAGCGUUGUCCGGAUUUAUUGGGUGUAAAGGGUGCGUAGGCGGCUUUGUAAGUCAGACGUGUAAUGCAGGGGCUUAACCUCUGAACUGCGUUUGAAACUGCUUAGCUUGAGUGGAGUAGAGGCAGAUGGAAUUUCCAGUGUAGCGGUGAAAUGCGUAGAUAUUGGAAGGAACACCAGUGGCGAAGGCGAUCUGCUGGGCUCUAACUGACGCUGAGGCACGAAAGCAUGGGGAGCAAACAGGAUUAGAAACCCUAGUAGUCC
rnacentral:rRNA from 1 species